rnacentral:lncRNA from 1 species
AUACAAACUAGAUCCUGCAAGCUUCUGAGUUUAAUACUGGGUUUCGAUUAAUGGGCUAAGAAAAACUAAAUAAAACAAAAUAAAACAAAAGAAAACCCUCAUUUUCCUAUCCGGAGGUUACCCAAGAGAAAUGAAGACUCAAGUAAGUCUUUGUCUAGCUUCUGUUUUGUAUUAUGUGAUGGGCUGAAAUGGAUUGAAGGCAAAAACACUGAAUGUGAGGGGUAUCUAAGAAAACCAUUCUUCACUUCACCAGCAGUAAGCAAAUCCACUAGCCAGAGCAUGGCUGAAUAGUUUAUUUUCUAGCCUGUCCUUUGUGAAUAAAUUAUUCUUCAUAUACCCUGAGUCA